rnacentral:rRNA from 1 species
CUCAGUAACGGCGAGUGAAGCGGCAAAAGCUCAAAUUUGAAAUCUGGCUCCUCCGGGGUCCGAGUUGUAAUUUGGAGAGGAUGCUCUGGGGGUGGUCGCGGUCUAAGUCCCCUGGAACGGGGCGUCGCAGAGGGUGAGAAUCCCGUCUUCGGCCGGCCGACCAUGCCCGUGUAGAGCUCCUUCGACGAGUCGAGUUGUUUGGGAAUGCAGCUCUAAAUGGGUGGUAAAUUUCAUCUAAAGCUAAAUACUGGUCGGAGACCGAUAGCGCACAAGUAGAGUGAUCGAAAGAUGAAAAGCACUUUGAAAAGAGAGUUAAACAGCAUGUGAAAUUGUUGAAAGGGAAGCACAAGCGACCAGAGUCGGCCGCGGGGGUUCAGCAGGGGUCCUCCCCUGUGUAUUCCCCCGUGGUCGGGCCAGCAUCAGUUCUGGCGGCCGGUCAAAGGCUCCGGGAAUGUGUCGCCCUUCGGGACGACUUAUAGCCCGGGGUGCAAUGCGGCCAGCCGGGACUGAGGAACGCGCUUCGGCACGGAUGCUGGCUUAAUGGCCGUUUGUGGCCCGUCUUGAAACACGGACCAAGGAGUCUAACAUCCACGCGAGUGUUCGGGUGUCAAACCCGUCCGCGCAGUGAGAGCGAACGGAGGUGAGAGCCCCUCGAGGGUGCAUCAUCGACCGAUCCUGAAGUCUUCGGAUGGAUUUGAGUAUGAGCGUGGCUGUUGGGACCCGAAAGAUGGUGAACUAUGCCUGAAUAGGGUGAAGCCAGAGGAAACUCUGGUGGAGGCUCGCAGCGGUUCUGACGUGCAAAUCGAUCGUCAAAUUUGGGUAUAGGGGCGAAAGACUAAUCGAACCAUCUGGUAGCUGGUUCCUGCCGAAGUUUCCCUCAGGAUAGCAGUAACGUUUUCAGUUUUAUGAGGUAAAGCGAAUGAUUAGAGGCCUUGGGGUUGAAACAACCUUAACCUAUUCUCAAACUUUAAAUAUGUAAGAAGUCCUUGUUACUUAAUUGAACGUGGACAAUUGAAUGGAUCGUUACUAGUGGGCCAUUUUUGGUAAGCAGAACUGGCGAUGCGGGAUGAACCGAACGCGAGGUUAAGGUGCCGGAAUGCACGCUCAUCAGACACCACAAAAGGUGUUAGUUCAUCUAGACAGCCCGACGGUGGCCAUGGAAGUCGGAAUCCGCUAAGGAGUGUGUAACAACUCACGGGCCGAAUGAACUAGCCCUGAAAAUGGAUGGCGCUUAAGCGUGCUACCAAUACCUCGCCGUCAGGGUAGAAACGAUGCCCUGACGAGUAGGCAGGCGUGGAGGUUUGUGACG